AUACGGAGGGUGCAAGCGUUAUUCGGAAUCACUGGGCGUAAAGGACGCGUAGGCGGGUUGGCAAGUCAGAUGUGAAAUCCUACAGCUUAACUGUAGAACUGCAUUUGAAACUGCUAACCUAGAGUAUGGGAGGGGGAGAUGGAAUUAGUGGUGUAGGGGUAAAAUCCGUAGAUAUCACUAGGAAUACCGAAAGCGAAGGCGAUCACCUGGAACAUAACUGACGCUAAGGCGUGAAAGCGUGGGGAGCAAACAGGAUUAGAUACCCUAGUAGUCC
rnacentral:rRNA from 1 species